rnacentral:lncRNA from 1 species
AGGUUCUAGGUUUAUUUACAAAAAACUCUCAAAAGAAUGUCAUUUCGUUAGCUAAAUUUGUGAGGACCCUACACUCAAAAUUGUAAUAAUAAUGAUUUACAAUAUAAAAUUCCAGAGAUGAAACAAAAGAGAGCCGAAAUGCGACUCAGAGCGUGCACUUCUAGACUUUCCCGAAAUAAAUAAAUAAAUGACAAAAAGUAAAAUUAUUAGAAUAAGAACCGAAAUGCUAUUCACAGCGUGCACUUCAAGGUUUCACAGCUAGAACUCGCCAGGAGAUGAGAGAUAAGUGAGGAGGAGCAGAGCUGGGCGAAAUGCAACUCACAGCGUGCACUUCAAGCGCCAGAGGAAGAAAACAGAGGAAAAGUGAGUGUAUAGGAAGCAGGACGAAAUGCUACUCAGAGCGUGCACUUCGAGUCCCAAAGGUGAAGAGAGAGGAGAGAGCGGGGUGACCGACCCUCCGAGAAGGAGAGAGGUGACGAACAAUAUUUGGCUUAGAGGGCCAUCAAAUCGCUUCCAAGUUCUCGGAAUGCGAUCUUCACAUUUGUACUAAACAUUUUGAUACAUAGAAUUUAAAUUUUGAUCUGAUAUUUACAUAGCUUGGAAAAAUUUCGCCCAGGCAUUCAAACAUUUAAAAUUUGGAAAAAUACCUUUUUUCCCAGUAAAACGUACAAUUUUGGAAAGUUCAACAACAGGGAAUUUGUGUAUGUGUGUGUGAGCUAUGACGAGAGAGGAGAGGCAAUUUGUUUUUUUGAAUUUUCCUGUCCGGCAUCAGCUGAUCUCGCCGGGCGUCGUCGCGGCGCGGUGUCGCCAAGCCGUCACACAUUCGUCGCUAUUUUUGGUUUACACAAGAAGGGGAAAAACUUAAAACGGAGAAUGAAAUUCUUCGUUACACCCCGGACCCCCUCCUAACCUGGGGGGUAUUCCAUACCCCCCAGACCCCCCGGUGGUGGGGGGCCAGGCCCCCCCCAGCAAAAUGGCCUAGCUACGCCUAUGCGUCAUUCGGCGGCAUUUCCCAUUUAAACACAUGUAUUUUAGCAAAUUAGGUUAUUCUGUCAUAUUUCCUCGGUAAAUAUGUUCAAUUCAAAAACCAAGGAUAUCCUCGUGCUCAGUUUUCUCAGCAGUUUAAUUUUAAACAUGGAAUUUACAAAAUUUCAGAUACCUGCAAAUUUUCCAUUCGAGGUUCCCUGAUAUUUGUGCAUGGAUCAUGUGCAUACACUGGAAAAAGUCGCUUGGAUCUAGAGUCCAGACUCUUAAAAACAUUGACAAGAAAAAAUACUCUUGAUUCAAUGGGAUUUUAGCUUGAAUCCAAAGAAAAGCCGUUUAAAAAUCAAGAGGCUCGGCUCUUCGAUUCAAGAAAAAAUCUGAUCGAAUCAAGAGUAUUUUUUUUUGUCAAUGUCAUUGAGAGUCUGGAUGGUAGAUCCAAGCUACUUUUUUUCCAGUAUAGAGAAUAAUAAUUAUUGAACAGGCAAAAAAAAAUGACUCAAAAGUGAAGCGCUGGGUGCAGAAAAGGCAAUUCUUGGUUGCGGUGUUCUCCGCAAACGUUUCAUUUGUUAUGAUUAGGUAAAGCAGACGUAUG